GCACAGUAUCCGACACCCCGAGCGCGGAGGAAGCGCGUGCACCGGGCCGGCUGCAGGCUGAGCCCUGGAUCUGGGCCGUGGGGGCAGCCAGGGCGGCGGUCCCGGCCAGCCCCGAAGGCCACCCACACUGCUGGGCUUUUACCUUGGAGGAUGUGGGACAGUGAGUCAUUUGUGCCUCUUCCCGGUUCUUCCCGGCCAAGGGCAGCUUUCCCCCUGGAGGCGCGCAGCUUGGCGCGGGGCCCAGCCGUCUGCAGCCUGCGAGGGUGCGGGGCCCGGCGGGCGCCCCCAGCGCGCUGCCCCCCCAGCCCGGGCGCCCGGGCAGCCCCGCGGGUCGCAGCGGCCUGGCACGAAGGGCCUCGGGCAGGAGGCGGCGGGAAACCCUCGCCCAAAUCCAGGCUGUGAGCCAAGGCGACCCCGACUGCUUCUGACCACUCUCCCCCCGCCCGGUGCGCGUCCCAAAGAGGAUCCGGUGUUAUCUGCUUGGGCGGAUUCCAGUUCAUCUCAAAACCGCGGCUACUGCCAGCAGUAGUAGUGAGUAGCCGCCAGCCUCUGAUUUCCCCUUCAACGAACGCACUGUGAGCUCUUCCUCGGUACCAGGAGCGGUCUGGACUCCGACCACCGCGGCAGACAGGCCCUGACCCCGGGAGCAGGCCAGGUGGAGGCGGACGCCACAGAGGACGGUGUGUUGGGGCCCUAGGGGGGGAGCAGCGAGGGGCCGGGCCGCCCUCGCCAGCCCAGCUCAGGCGCAGGCCACCCCAGGCCUCCUCCCCGGCCUCCCUUCCCGCAGCACCCCUCCUCCUGCAGGUCUCCUGACCCGCGACAAGAUCCCCCUGCACCGAUGCAAAGCGCGGCCCUGACCAGACCUCGAGCAGGGACAGGAGGGAAGGAAAGGCCACCAGAAGUGACCCCGAGGACUCCUCAGCGGCCAGCGGGAAGGAUGUGUUGGAUGGAGUUCCCUCAGACUCGCCUUGCUUCACAUCAGUCUCCAAGGCGGAUCUGCCUGGCUUUUGAGUUUCCAAGACGACUGAAUACCCCAGCGCUCGCCUUGUCAUCUGAAGCAGAGCCAGCUGGGAGGCUAGUUUUGAAAACGAAACUUCUGAGGAGGUUUGGGGAGUGCAAGUGGGGGCUGCAGUUCUUUCUUCUUCUGAGAGACACGACCCCAAUGCUACUUUUUUUCAAAGAGUUAGAGCAAAUGAGCCUGACACACGGAGGAGGGACAGAGCUUCUAUUUCUGCAGGUUCCUUAAGGCAACAGAGGAAGCUCCGCGGCCAAGGGAGUCUAGUUAAUGAGCAGGUUAUACAAUAUUCAUUGUGUUGAGUUUAACUCUUCAAACAGAACGUCUAAUUGUGAAAAGAAAAAAAGCAGCUAAAUUACAGAUGUUAAGACAACAAAGCCCUCGAAGAACUAACUCCCUGUGCUGAUCAACCUGUCCUUCCCCUGCUGCCUCUGUUCCCGAGUCCUCCUCCGCUGUUCUCGCUCGGCUGUGACCCCGCGGGGCAGGGCCCACCAGGCCGGCACCCCCUCCCCCCAGGCCUGUGUCCCCCUCGGCUGUGACCCCGCGGGGCAGGGCCCACCGGGCCGCGCACCCCCUCCCCCCAGGCCUGUGUCCCCCUCGGCUGUGACCCCGCGGGGCAGGGCCCACCGGGCCGCGCACCCCCUUCCCCCCAGGCCUGUGUCCCCCUCGGCUGUGACCCCGCGGGGCAGGGCCCACCGGGCCGCGCACCCCCUUCCCCCAGGCCUGUGUCCCCCUCGGCUGUGACCCCGCGGGGCAGGGCCCACCGGGCCGCGCACCCCCUUCCCCCCAGGCCUGUGUCCCCCUGGGCCGUGACCCCGCGGGGCAGGGCCCACCGGGCCGCGCACCCCCUCCCCCCAGGCCUGUGUCCCCCUCGGCUGUGACCCCGCGGGGCAGGGCCCACCGGGCCGCGCACCCCCUCCCCCCAG
rnacentral:lncRNA from 12 species